CCACAGAACGUAUCCUGAUCUAUUUUACCAUUAACACCCGGGAAUCGAUUUUGCUCCACAAAAGACAUUUUAGACUAAGGAUUAUAAUUAUAUGACGAUGCCACCGCGCGUGUAUUGACCAAGUCUGGUUUGGCAUGGGCAAGAGCAUCAGCUGCAGUUAUUAAUUUCAAUUGCUUUUUAAUUCUUCUUCCUGUCUGUCGAAACAUGUUGUCAUUUCUUCGAGGUGUAGAUUGUUGUGGAAUGGGUCACAAUUUACAACGUUUACUUGAUAAAAAUAUCACAUUUCAUCGAGUCAUUGCCUACGCGAUUUGUUUCUUCACCAGUAAGUUGUUCUUCAUGUAUAAACUUUUACUAAAUAAUGGAAAAAUCAAGACAUCAUGAAAAAGUUUUGAAAAUAGAAUUUUUGAAAAAUAGGGUUUUGUUAUUGGGUGUGGUAUCUCAAAAGGAAUAAUAUCCCCCUCCCCCUCCUCCCA